rnacentral:piRNA from 1 species
UGCCAAGACAUUUCUCCAGACCAGAGCCAU